rnacentral:rRNA from 1 species
AACGCUGGCGGCAUGCCUAAGACAUGCAAGUCGAACGAGGUGCCCCGAUGAAGAUGAAGUGCUUGCACAGAUUUGGAUUCGGAUCAGCACCUAGUGGCGGACGGGUGAGCAACACGUGGGUGACCUACCUUUGAGACUGGGAUACCUAUUGGAAACGAUAGUUAAUACCGGAUAACACAUUAAUUCGUUUUAAUGUUAAAAGGAGCCUUUAAAGCUUCACUCUUAGAUGGGCCUGCGGAGUAUUAGAUAGUUGGUGGGGUAAUGGCCUACCAAGUCGACGAUGCUUAGCCGAACUGAGAGGUUGAUCGGCCACAUUGGGACUGAGACACGGCCCAAACUCCUACGGGAGACAGCAGUUAGGAAUAUUCGUCAAUGGGGGAAACCCUGAACGAGCAAUGCCGCGUGAACGAUGAAGGCCCUCUGGGUUGUAAAGUUCUGUUACUUGGGAAGAAUAUCUAAGAUAAGAAAUGAUCUUAGCUUGACGGUACCAUGUCAGAAAGCUCCGGCUAACUACGUGCCAGCAGCCGCGGUAAUACGUAGGGAGCGAGCGUUAUCCGGAUUUAUUGGGCGUAAAGGGUGCGUAGGCGGUUUGUUAAGUAUGAAAUCAAAGCCUGAGGCUUAACCUCAGUUCGUUUCAUAAACUGGCAGACUAGAGUACGGUAGAGGCAAAUGGAAUUUCUAGUGUAGCGGUAAAAUGCGUAGAUAUUAGAAAGAACACCAGUGGCGAAGGCGAUUUGCUGGACCGAAACUGACGCUGAGGCACGAAAGCGUGGGGAGCGAAUAGGAUUAGAUACCCUGGUAGUCC